rnacentral:pre_miRNA from 14 species
AUCUUGUGAAAAUGCAGAUUCUGAUUUAGUGGGUCUGGGGUUGAGGCCUGAGAUUCUGCAUUUUUAAAAAGUUC